CAGGAGCCGCGGGAAAACGGAGGGUGCAAGCGUUAUCCGGAUUUAUUGGGUUUAAAGGGUCCGUAGGCGGAUCUGUAAGUCAGUGGUGAAAUCUCACAGCUUAACUGUGAAACUGCCAUUGAUACUGCAGGUCUUGAGUAAAUUUGAAGUGGCUGGAAUAAGUAGUGUAGCGGUGAAAUGCAUAGAUAUUACUUAGAACACCAAUUGCGAAGGCAGGUCACUAAGAUUUAACUGACGCUGAUGGACGAAAGCGUGGGGAGCGAACAGGAUUAGAUACCCCGGUAGUCCCUGUCUCUUAUAC
rnacentral:rRNA from 1 species